AUAAAUUUCAACCCACUAGCCCCUUCAUCUUUUUUAAUAUUUUAGGUUUGUUUCAGGAAAUGCAUUAAUGUUUUGUAAAUGUAAGCCUGAAUAUUAACUGUCAUGUCUCCUACAGGAUCAAACAUGUCCAACUCUUGUCCAAUGGGGAUAAUAAGCCAGCUACUCGCUAGGUGGCGCUAGUAAAAUAAGGGGUAAACAAUGCUGACCCAGAUUCUUAUCUCAAAUGGAUUCUUAGAGGAAAUCAAAAUUUUUUGGACGGAAAGUUAUACAAUUACAGAGAGAAUUAAUAAAAAGAGGGGCAUCAAUCAAAGGCAGAAAAGAAGAUUUGUUAACAAGACUUGAAGCAUAUGACAGAAAUCAAGACUUCAGGGAUGAACCUAUUCUCCUACCAGAACCUCAGGAUUCAGACUGAUCCACUGAAGGGUUUCAUCAACUGCAAGCAGACCAUAGGAUCCACUUCCCUAAAUUGGGAAGCAAUAUGAAAAAAACAGCAAUUAGAAAUUUGAAAAGCAUACGGGAUAUAGUGUCAACAACUGCGGUUUAUUCACAUGUAGAGAAAGUCCUUAUCUGGCUGCAACACCCGACGGAGUCAUCAAUGAACAAACAAUAGUUGAGGUGAAAUGUCCAUAUGCUGGGAAAGAGGCAAUUAUCCAACCUUGAAUUUUUUUUCCAUACUUGGAUUAUACGGACGAAAAAAUGGAGCUAAAGAAAACUUCAAACUACUAUUAUCAGAUACAGUGACAGAUGUAUAUAUAUUGCUAUUUCAUUGUGUAUACAUUCAAGGAUAUGUUUGUACUAAUAAGCUUUGAUAAUGUGGCAGUUGAGUCCAAUAAGUCCAGGGGUGUUCAAAGAUAAUCCGUCACAGAUCUAUAGUAAAGCAAUUAUUGGAUUUACCUGUACUGGAAAAUAAACAGUGUCGAUUGUAUUUAGGUCAACUGCCACAUUAUCAAAGUUUAUUAGUACAAAAAGUUGAACUAGGUCAUGAGUACUGUAAACACAGUAUUUUACCAAAGCUAGAACUGUUCUACAAAAUGUAUCUGUGGAAAUAUACAGCUGAACAUUUGUGAAAUAACAUUGAUGAUGAUUAAUGUAGACAUUUGCAGUACAAUAUGAUGUUCAGUCUAUAAAAAGCUAUUAUGCAUUUGAUAAAUAAUUGUUUGUAGUUGAAAUAAAUAUAUAACAGUCCAGCA
rnacentral:lncRNA from 1 species